GGAUGUGAGGGCUAUCUGGCUAUAACAUCUGUCAUGCCAUUGAUCGCCAGGGUUGAUUCGGCUGAUCUGGCUGGCUAGGUGUGUGUCCUCUUCCUCCCUCACCGCUCCAUGUGCGUCCCUCCUGAAGCUGAGCACUCGGGUCGAAGAGGACUGCAUUCCCUGAAUACAGAAGGACUGGUCUUUGGUCGAGGGUGUAAGAGUAGCUGAGCUGCCCUACUAGAACCUCCAAACAAACUCUCAGGGUCCAUUUGUAGCAGAACGUAGAGCAGUCAAGCUUCCAAGACUCCAGACACAUCCAAAUGAGGCACUGCAUGUGGCAGUCUGCCUUUCUUU
ensembl:misc_RNA 7SK 7SK RNA